AGCACCCAGGACUCUCCGUGUAGGAAGCUACUCCUGCCUCUGAGGCAACAGAGCAAGAGACAGAAGGGUGUCCCUGGAAAGGAGAGGCUGGCCAUCAGGAGCGGUGCUAUGGAGGGCACAGUGGCUCCUGGAGCCCCAGCGAGGGGCGGAGAAAAGGCUCUUCCAGAUCCUUUUCCAAAGAGGAUCCUAAAGAGGAAACCAAUUUCCAAAAGUGGAGAGCAUACAAAGAACUGAGUAAGAGCUUCAAAUAAGUCAAAACCUUCAACACCAGGAAAAGAACAACUCAAGACUCGGAAAGAGAUCAACUUUCAAACUCGCUGUUAGGCAAAAGCUUGAGGCUGUAGGGGGAAUGGGUCUCACUCGGCCUGGUGGUGGGAAGGGCUGGGCCAUGGCUAACGAAAUCACACGUGCUUUUGCCCUUUAAACCAACAAUCUCACUUUUAAGAAACUAUCCCAAGGGCACCAGGGUGGCCCCAUCGGUUGAGCGUUCUACUUGUGACUUUGGCUGAGUUCAUGAUCUCAGGGUGCUGGGAUGGAGCCCUGUACUGGGUUCUGUGCUCCACGCGGAGUCUGCUUGAGAUUCUUUCUCUCCCUCCCCUCUGCCCCUCCCCCUGCUCGCUCUCCCUCUUGCUCUCUCUUUCUCCCUCUCUCUAAAAUAAAUAUUCUUUUUAAAAAAAAGAAACUAUCCCAGAGACAUAUGGAUAAAAAUUCAAAAUGACUUGUGCACAUGGCUAUUCACUGCAGCACUAUUUGUGAUAUGAGAGAGUAAGUCCUUCAGUAGGGGUUGAAUAAGCUAAGGUAUAUAUACCCACAGAAUGGAGGGUGAUACAGCCAAAAGGCAUGCGCUCUCUCCCGGUCUUCCUUUCUGAAUAAUCUAAUGUAAAAGCCAUCAAGCCUUAGGCACCAAUCAAGGCAGGCAUGCCUACAUGGAAUGAAGAGAGGCGUGGGGCAUCAGGCCAUCAUGAAGGGUCCUGGGGGUGUGGGAACCCGCGAUACUGGAAUUGACCGAGUAAGUAAAUGUACUGAGGCACACAGGAGCCGGACUUCUCAAUGACAGAAACGGGAGUUGCAAAUAGGAAAAGGGAAAAACCAGAAUAAAUGUGGGGAGUUGUACUCAAGUUGAAGGGAUGGGUGUGAGUGGAUGGGUUUUGGUAGAUAAAGAGACAAAAAUAUGAGAAAAGACAGUGUGUGUGCCUUUGUGUGAUACCUGUGUAUGUUCCCUCGCUGCAGUCACUGACGAGGACCUAGCAGCAGGCAUGCCUCAAUUCCAAGGAGCACAUCUGGCACCUGGAGUUUGGUUUUUAAAUACGGCUCUCCCCUAAUGGGAACCAGGGAAUCCCUGGAAGAAUGGCCGAUUGCACGGCCGAGGCAAAGGAGGCACAAACAAGCCAAGGCUGGGCUUUUUCGCGGUGCCUGGAAUCAAGAAGAGACUCAGAGGGUGAGGCCGUGUCAGAAGGAAAAAGCAGCCAGUGGAGAGGCUCCUAAUGGUCAGCUCUGGAACAAUUCAGACCACUAAUAACAGAUUACAACCCACGAAAGAAGAGCCUAAUAAAUGAGGAGAGGAGAGAAUGCUCCCUUAGAGCAGAAUGCCAAAUGAUGAACCCAGAAGGAAUAAUGUAAUCAGAAAGUCACCAUUUGGGGACCAGGUCAGUAAUAACUCAGCUAAAGACGCAUCGAAGAAUGCUCAAGUUAAAGGGUAGAAUUUUGAGAAAUGGGGUAUUGUACAGUCUUCAAGUAUGCGCCCACCGGAUGCUUCUUAAUUACAAAGGAGGGGAGAGGAGCCUGAUGACGGAGCCAUCGACAGACUCUGCCAUAAAUGAGCCGCAGGCUCUACGGGAAUUCUCUGUAGUAUUUUUGUAACUUUUUUGUAAUUACUUCAAAUUAUUUCAAGAGAAAAAGAAAUAAACCACAUGCUCAAAUGUUCAAAUAAAGUCCAAAUGAGA